rnacentral:rRNA from 1 species
GACGAACGCUGGCGGCGUGCUUAACACAUGCAAGUCGAACGGAAAGGCCCUGCUUUUGUGGGGUGCUCGAGUGGCGAACGGGUGAGUAACACGUGAGUAACCUGCCCUUGACUUUGGGAUAACUUCAGGAAACUGGGGCUAAUACCGGAUAGGAGCUCCUGCUGCAUGGUGGGGGUUGGAAAGUUUCGGCGGUUGGGGAUGGACUCUCGGCUUAUCAGCUUGUUGGUGGGGUAGUGGCUUACCAAGGCUUUGACGGGUAGCCGGCCUGAGAGGGUGACCGGCCACAUUGGGACUGAGAUACGGCCCAGACUCCUACGGGAGGCAGCAGUGGGGAAUAUUGCACAAUGGGCGGAAGCCUGAUGCAGCAACGCCGCGUGCGGGAUGACGGCCUUCGGGUUGUAAACCGCUUUCGCCUGUGACGAAGCGUGAGUGACGGUAAUGGGUAAAGAAGCACCGGCUAACUACGU